AUAGAAGAUUCAGGAUGUAGUACUCGUGGUUGGGGUCGGGGACACGGCAAGACAGGAGCGGAAGAGAGAGACGGAGAAGACGCAGGGGAACUGCAUCGGCCUCUGCUGCUCAGGAACAGCGUCGAGACCGGCGCAGGGACCAUGGGCGGGAGAGUCCUGAUGUACUCAAUGUAUAAUAUUAGGCAGAAACCCAAUAUAAAAAGAAAAGCAGAGUUGUUGUAGAUUCAUCGAGGGCUGGCGACCUGGUUCCAAUGAGCCAUCUCCCCGUUCCGACAGGGGCUUCCUGGAGCUCCUGCAACCCCAGGCAUUAGUUCCAGUGCAGUUCUAGGAUCAGAUCAAUUCACUCGACAACAAGAGAAACAAAUGGAGAUUCCUACACAAAGACUUUCAAGCACAAAGAAAUCCUGCUGCCUGUAAAGUGGAGCUGCCUCAGCUCUUGAUGAACGACAGAAAAUCUCACAUUCCAGGAAUUCAGAUGAAGUGAAGUGCUCUCAUGGGGACCAGGCAUGGUUAUUCCAGUCCACUGCCCUGCAAGCCUCAAGGGAAGCCAACUGCCCUUCAGCAAGUCACACCUGCCUUGGUGGAGGCCUUGAUUGGAAGUGCCACACGCUACAUGUCCAGUCCUGAGCGGGAGAAUCGGUGUAGGGACGUUGUGGGGAUGCCGGCUGUGGCCAGAUCAGGUCCAGCUACAGAAGAAUGAAGACUCCACCUGAGGGCUGGAAAAACAAAACCUCAAGUGUGAGGCAGCCAACCUGUUACCUCGAGGGACUGUCCCGCAGCACAGCGGGGCCAUGGGAACAGCAGCAGACACCCCGGCCUCCUCGCUACCU
rnacentral:lncRNA from 1 species